GCCGCACCCAUGGCAUAUGGAGGUUCCCAGGCUAGGGGUAGAAUUGGAGCUGAAGCUGCCAACUUACACCACAGCCACAGCAACGCCACGUCUGAGACAUGUCUGAGAACUACACCACAGCUCUCAGCAACGCCGGAUCCUUAACCCACUGAGUGAGUCCAGGGAUCAAAUUCACAACCUCAUGGUUCCUGGUUGGAUUUGUUUCCACUGCACCAUGAUGGGAACUCCUCCAUCCCAUUUUCUAAGUUUACUUUCUGCUCCCCUAGCAUCUACAGCCAACUGGAGAAAAAUGGAAGCAGGAGGGAGAAGCCCAGUGGCUUCUGGAGUUUCAUCCAAGAAGAUGAAGAAUUUCUCUAUUCAAAUGCAGGCACCUUCUGGUAGCCAAUUUUAACAGACUUUUCUAGAACCGCCAAAGACUGCUAUUCUACUUUGGAGGGUACCCUGGAAAUUAUUCACAUCUUCCUAUCUCAUGAACUUCCUGACAAAUUGCUUAUUUGCUCUGUGGUUUGAGAACAUUUUAUUUUGCUGCAGGGGUCUUGUUUAUCUCAGAAGCUGCAAGCAGCCCUGAUGAGCCGGAAAGGAACACGACAGUCAACUGUGUUCAUUGAGCACCUACUGGUACUGGAGAGGGCGCCAGGCUCUUUCAAAACUCUCAUCUUAUUUAAGCCUCCUAGAGCACCCUGGAGUGGCUAUUUUUCCCUCUUUUAAAGAAAUCAAAGCUUGGCAAAGUUACAAAAUUUGUCCAAAGUCCUAUGGCUAUAAAUGGCAGCAUCGGGAAUCAAACCCAGAUUCAUCCAUCCCCAAAGACUGAGCUCUUCCAAUUCUAUUGCAAGAGAAUUGACUUUUUUUUUAAGAAAAGGAUGGCAGAGGGCUCAGAGUCCCUGAGAACAGACCGUGUGCCAGCCUCCAAUAGGCAUUUGGGUACAUUGUUCCCUUUGGUGUUCGGAACAUUCUAUCCCUGCCAGGCUUCUUGAUCCCCAUGUCAGAAGUAAAGUAACAGAGUCUAAAAAGAAGUCCAAUAUCUUGCAUCAAGUUGCACCAGCUGCAAAGUGAGGGCGUCAGCCUUCCACCCAGGUGCCCUGACUCCAAAUAACAAUGGUCUUUUCACCGCAUGAAACCACAUGGCAGAAAUUUCAAGUAUUGUCUAUAGGAAAAUACGACCUUUGGGUCUCAAUUAUUCCUAAGGGGCCUCUUCAAUGUGCCUCUUAAGGGGGAGUAGACAUGCACUGCUUUGUCUGCCUAGGAAUUCUUCUUCUUAUUUUUCAGUCUGGAAGAGUUUGUUGACUCCCCUUUAGUAUGAGUGCCGAGUACUCUGUUCUUGGGUUCCGUCUCCAUGGGACCAUCAAUCAAGCUUCCCUCCCCUCCCCUGUCCAAGGCGUGGAUAUGUGACCCAUAUUCUGUAAUUUAUCUCUCCCUUCCUAGAUUUGGAAACUUAAAUGGACAAGCUAAAGGAUGAGAAACAGCUGGAGCCAAAGCUUUCUAACUGGAAAGCCCAAUUGGAGACUGUCCCUAGGGAUCGCAUGUUGCAAUGAGUGUCCUGUUUUCCCAACGCGGUUAUUAAUAACGCUUCCUUUCCCUUUCCGAAGUGUCUUGGUUGAGAUGAUGAAUUAUAUAGUCACCCUAACUACCAAUCCCAAUUCUCGCAGCCUCGAUGCCUUCCUUCCAACAGCUGGAUCCUCAACACCCUCUUCCAUUAUGUAAGUUGCUGCAUAGCUCUCCAAUAAAUUAUUUUUUUGCAUAAGCGAAUCAAGUCUGGUUCGGAGUUCCCAUCAUGGGGAAGUGGAAACAAAUCCAACUAGGAACCAUGAGGUUGCAGGUUCGAUCCCUGGCCUCGCUCAGUGGGUUAAGGAUCCGGUAUUGCUGUGAGCUAUGGUGUGGGUCACAGACACGGCUCAGAUCCUGAGUUGCUGUGUCUCUGGUGUAGGCUGACAGCUGUGGCUCUGAUUAGACCCCUAGCCUGGGAACCUCCAUAUGCUGCGGAUGCCCUAAAAAGACAAAAGACCAAAAAAAAAAAAAAAAAAAAAAAAAGAAUAAUCAGGAGCAUGGAUAGAAGUUCUUCUUUAAAAAAAAAAUUAUUACAGUUAAUUUCCAAUAUUCUGUCAAUUUCUGCUGUACAGCAAAGCAACCCAUUCAUACAUAUAUACACAUUCUUUUUUUCACAUUAUCCUUUAUCAUGUUCCAUCCCAAGUGAUUAGAUAGAGCUCCCUAUGCUAUACUAGCAGGAUCUCAUUGCUUAUCCACUCCCAAUGCAAUAGUU
rnacentral:lncRNA from 1 species